rnacentral:rRNA from 1 species
ACGAAGGGUGCAAGCGUUAAUCGGAAUUACUGGGCGUAAAGGGUGCGUAGGCGGUUCGUUAAGUCUGUCGUGAAAUCCCCGGGCUCAACCUGGGAAUGGCGAUGGAUACUGGCGAGCUAGAGUGUGUCAGAGGAUGGUGGAAUUCCCGGUGUAGCGGUGAAAUGCGUAGAUAUCUGGAGGAACACCGGUGGCGAAGGCGGCGUUCUGGACGGCAUCUGACACUGAGAAACGAAAGCCAGGGGAGCAAACGGGA